GCAAGUCGAGGGGUAACAUUGGUGCUUGCACCAGAUGACGACCGGCGCACGGGUGCGUAACGCGUAUGCAACCUACCUCAUACAGUGGGAUAGCCCGAAGAAAUUCGGAUUAAUACCACAUAACAUUGUGAUAUCGCAUGAUAUUAUAAUUAAAACUCCGGUGGUAUGAGAUGGGCAUGCGUGACAUUAGGUAGUUGGUGGGGUAACGGCCCACCAAGCCAACGAUGUCUAGGGGUUCUGAGAGGAAGGUC
rnacentral:rRNA from 1 species